UUUUCACGCCCUAACAUUCGCCACUUUGUUUAACUUUUUUUUUUUCUCCCCUGGAAAUUAAAUCCCUCUAUAAAUAUUCUCACUUCACUUCUUCUACUUCCAACAUUUUCAUUCUUCUCUUCUUAUUAUAUCUUCUUUUUUUUCAUCUUCAUUACUAAAGCAAAAUACCCAGUUUAGUUCCCUUUGAAGAGAAGAAGAAUAUGGCAAAAAGUGGAUACAAUGUUAGCUUCUUGUUGCUUCUGUCAAUUUUCUUGAUUUUGCUCACUUUCUCCAAUAUGGUUGAGGUAUAUAUAUGUUUAUGAUCAUUAUUAAUUAGUCAUUGGAAAAAUAAUAAUGUAGUUUUUGUUUUGUCAAACCCUUUUAAUAAUAUGUGUUUUUAUCUUCAUUUUGGCAGGGUUACAACAAUCUCCAGCCUAGAGGUAUAUAUACACUUUCGCUAUUUCAUUUGGAUCCUUAUGUAU
rnacentral:lncRNA from 1 species